ensembl:lncRNA
AAUAAGCUCUAUGACUCUAUGACUCUACUAAACAAAACACGCCGUGAGGCAACAUUUAAAAGACAUUCACAAGUGCAAGACCUUUAAUCAAACACCCAAAUGCAACAAGCAAACAAAAACGAAGUCAAACUCCUCACCUGCUCCCGUAGUUUCCUGCGCCACCGCGGCUUUACAUUAACACGCAAAAUACAAUACCAUAGAGAGAAGGUGCACGCCGAAAACUAUAAAAGAAACGCGCAAAAGAGUCGGCUAAAGUGCUCCUGUAACCACUGGGGCUCUGCGUUUUCAUGACGUCAUGGGCUGUCCAACGACAAGGCAGGUACUAAAGAAUUUGACAAACACACUUCCUCGAGCCCCCGCCGAUUUUAUAUUCUUGAGGGUUCAUUGACAGCCCAAAAAAGUUUGAAUCAGUUUCUUAAGUGCAAGUUAAAGUUGUAUUUCUGAGAUGGUCGCAGUGCUGCAGGUGGCACCGGAGGUAGAUUUGGAGAUCUUCAGGAAGCCUGAAUAAGGUGUGAUUUGAGAUAGUUGCAGACUGGACCGGUGGGAAUUGUGCGCGGGACAGGGGCAGAUGAGAAGAUGGAUACUUGCCUAAUAUUGCGAGUGACACUUUUCGGAAUGAUGUUGCUGGGACUUGUUACUCCGGCACAAACUAAAGCGGGGUGUGUUUGCAGAGAGAAAUCAGGGUGCAACUGUGAAGGAAUCAAAGGACAAAAGGGUGAGAUGGGGUUACCUGGCUAUCCUGGUGAAAAAGGAAUUCAGGGGCAUCGAGGAAAAGAAGGACCUUCUGGAAUUCCCGGUGAAAAUGUAUGUUACACAUGGCUGCUUUACAAGCUCACAAUUUGACAAAAUAUCAGAAUAAAAAAUGCAAUAUAUUCUAAAUUUUACA